AACGUAGGACGCAAGCGUUAUCCGGAGUUACUGGGCGUAAAGGGCAGGCAGGCGGGUCGAUAAGUCGGAUGUGAAAUCUCCCUGGCUUAACCGGGAGAGUGCAUUUGAGACUGUCAACCUGGAGGGCAGCAGAGGAGCGUGGAAUUCCGGGUGGAGUGGUGAAAUGCGUAGAGAUCCGGAGGAACACCAGAGGCGAAAGCGGCUACCUGGCCCAUUCUUGACGCUGAGGCGCGAAAGCUAGGGGAGCAAACGGG
rnacentral:rRNA from 1 species